AGAGUUUGAUCCUGGCUCAGGAUGAACGCUGGCGGUAUGCGUAACACAUGCAAGUCGAACGAAGUUUUUCGGAACUUAGUGGCGGACGGGUGAGUAACGCGUGAGAAUCUACCAAAAGGACUGGGACAACCACUGGAAACGGUGGCUAAUACCGGAUAAGCCGCAACGUAAAAGAGGAAACUCGCCUUUUGAGGAGCUCGCGUCUGAUUAGCUAGUUGGUGAGGUAAAGGCUCACCAAGGCGGCGAUCAGUAGCUGGUCUGAGAGGAUGAUCAGCCACACUGGGACUGAGACACGGCCCAGACUCCUACGGGAGGCUGCAGUCGAGAAUCUUGGGCAAUGCACGAAAGUGUGACCCAGCGACGCCGCGUGGAGGAUGAAGGACCUUGGUUCGUAAACUCCUUUUAGGGGAGAAGAAGAGGCGUAAGCCUUUGACGGUAUCCCCUGAAUAAGCCACGGCUAACUACGUGCCAGCAGCCGCGGUAAUACGUAGGUGGCAAGCGUUGUCCGGAUUUACUGGGCGUAAAGCGUGGGCAGGCGGACUUUUAAGUAGGAAGUGAAAGGCGGGAGCUCAACUCCUGGACUGCUCCCUAUACUGGAGGUCUUGAGUACCGGAGAGGAUCAGGGAACGGGUUGUGUAGCGGUGAAAUGCGUUGAUAUAACUCGGAACACCAAUGGCGAAAGCACUGAUCUGGACGGAGACUGACGCUCAUCCACGAAAGCCAAGGUAGCGAACAGGAUUAGAUACCCCUGUAGUCC
rnacentral:rRNA from 1 species